GAGGGUGCAUACAAAAAUUAUUAUUUAUUUCAUGAUUCACGGACUAAAGUCGAAGGCCAUCGAAGUUUCAUUCUAUACUUUAUUUCAAUCCUGGUUGGCUUUAAUUUCUGAAGUGCAAUUCGAUGUUGGUCUUUGAGCACGAUGAUCAUCUGGUUCUGCGAGCGUGAUCUAGGUCAGUCUGUGGCAGUGGAGCGAGCACGCCUGCCUGCCUCGCUCCAUCUCUCUCACCUCGGUUUGUCGGUUUGCCAAAAUAUCACAAAAUCUUCCGCUUGACAAAAGACAAAACAAGACUUUGUGUCUUUUUCUAAAAUUGGCAUCGCUUUAAGAAUAAUUUGCCACCUCAAUAAAAUUAAAUUUUUGACAUAAA